rnacentral:rRNA from 1 species
CCUACGGGUGGCAGCAGUGGGGGAUAUUGCACAAUGGGGGCAACCCUGAUGCAGCGACGCCGCGUGAGCGAUGGAGUACUUCGGUAUGUAAAGCUCUGUCAGCAGGGAAGAGAAUGACGGUACCUGACCAAGAAGCCCCGGCUAAAUACGUGCCAGCAGCCGCGGUAAUACGUAUGGGGCAAGCGUUAUCCGGAUUUACUGGGUGGAAAGGGAGCGCAGGCGGCGCGUUAAGCCUGGUGUGAAAGCCCGCGGCCCAACCGCGGGACUGCAUUGGGAACUGGCGCGCUGGAGUGCCGGAGGGGUAGGCGGAAUUCCUAGUGUAGCGGUGAAAUGCGUAGAUAUUAGGAGGAACACCAGUGGCGAAGGCGGCCUACUGGACGGUGACUGACGCUGAGGCUCGAAAGCGUGGGGAGCAAACAGGAUUAGAUACCCCGGUAGUC